rnacentral:rRNA from 1 species
GCGAAAGCGAGUCUGAAGAGGGCGAAAUCAAUAGUCAGUGUGAGUAGACGCGAAACCAAGUGAUCUACCCUUGAGCAGGCUGAAGUUUCGGUAACACGGGAUGGAGGGCCGAACCGGUAAACGUUGAAAAGUUUUCGGAUGACUUGAGGGUAGGGGUGAAAGGCUAAUCAAACUUGGAGAUAGCUCGUACUCCCCGAAAUGCAUUUAGGUGCAGCCUUGUGUUAAAGAGUUUAUAAGAGGUAGAGCGACUGAUUGGAUGCGAGGGUUUCAACGCCUAUCAAGUCCAGACAAACUCCGAAUGGUUAUAAAUGAUACACAGGAGUGAGGGCGCGGGUGCUAAGGUCCGUGUCCGAGAGGAGAAGAAUCCAGACCAUCAGCUAAGGUCCCGAAAUAUAUGCUAAGUUGAAA